rnacentral:rRNA from 1 species
CGCAUCUGUGCAUGCAGCAUAUCAAUAAGCGGAGGAAAAGAAACUAACAAGGAUUCCCUUAGUAACGGCGAGUGAAGCGGGAAGAGCUCAAAUUUGAAAUCUUCAAGGUUUUACCUUGACGAAUUGUAGUUUAAAGAAGUGUUUUCUGUUGAAGUUUUGGUAAAAGUUCUUUGGAAUAGGACAUCAUAGAGGGUGAGAAUCCCGUAUUUGACCAUUAUUUUCAGCUGUGUGAUACACUUUCAAAGAGUCGGAUUGUUUGGGAAUGCAGUCCAAAAUGGGUGGUAAAUUUCAUCUAAAGCUAAAUAUUGGCGAGAGACCGAUAGCGAACAAGUACCGUGAGGGAAAGAUGAAAAGAACUUUGAAAAGAGAGUUAAACAGUACGUGAAAUUGUCAAAAGGGAAGCGUUUGACACCAGUGUUGUUUUCUCGAAAAUCAAUUAAAAAGAGUUUGAUUUUGUUGUGUAUUGACCUUAACAGCUUGCAUUUCAAUUUUCUUGCUUUUUUUAAUGCACUUCUUCGUUUAACAAGUCAACAUCAGUUUCUUUUGUUGUAAAAAGGUCAUUGGAAGGUGGCUUUCUUUUCGGAGAAAGUGUUUAUAGCCUUUGACUCCUGCAAUCGGAGAGACUGAGGUCUGCAGCGUAGAUCCUUCGGGGUUAGAUACAUUUGUGCUAAGUUAUAGCUUUUUAUAGACAACUUGUUGACUAUGAUUAGUCUUGUAGCUUACUCGCUUAUGCUAUUUUACCUACGCUUAGGAUGUUGACACACGCGCGUGCUCG